rnacentral:rRNA from 1 species
UACGUAGGGGGCAAGCGUUGUCCGGAAUCAUUGGGCGUAAAGAGCGUGUAGGCGGCUUGGUAAGUCCGCUGUGAAAGUCCAGGGCUCAACCCUGGAAUGCCGGUGGAAACUGUCAAGCUUGAGUCCGGAAGAGGCGAGUGGAAUUCCUGGUGUAGCGGUGAAAUGCGCAGAUAUCAGGAGGAACACCGGUGGCGAAGGCGGGUCUCGUGGGCCGAUACUGACGCUGAGGAGCGAAAGCGUGGGGAGCGAACAGG